GACGAACGCUGGCGGCGUGCUUAACACAUGCAAGUCGAACGGAAAGGCCCUGCUUUUGUGGGGUGCUCGAGUGGCGAACGGGUGAGUAACACGUGAGUAACCUGCCCUUGACUUUGGGAUAACUUCAGGAAACUGGGGCUAAUACCGGAUAGGAGCUCCUGCUGCAUGGUGGGGGUUGGAAAGUUUCGGCGGUUGGGGAUGGACUCGCGGCUUAUCAGCUUGUUGGUGGGGUAGUGGCUUACCAAGGCUUUGACGGGUAGCCGGCCUGAGAGGGUGACCGGCCCCAUUGGGACUGAGAUACGGCCCAGACUCCUACGGGAGGCAGCAGUGGGGAAUAUUGCACAAUGGGCUGAAGCCUGAUGCAGCAACGCCGCGUGCGGGAUGACGGCCUUCGGGUUGUAAACCGCUUUCGCCUGUGACGAAGCGUGAGUGAUGGUAAUGGGUAAAGAAGCACCGGCUAACUACGUG
rnacentral:rRNA from 1 species